rnacentral:rRNA from 1 species
UACGUAGGGUCCGAGCGUUGUCCGGAAUUACUGGGCGUAAAGGGCUCGUAGGCGGCCAACUAAGUCAGACGUGAAAUCCCCAGGCUCAACCUGGGAACUGCGUCUGAUACUGGAUGGCUUGAAUCCGGGAGAGGGAUGCAGAAUUCCAGGUGUAGCGGUGAAAUGCGUAGAUAUCUGGAGGAAUACCGGUGGCGAAGGCGGCAUCCUGGACCGGCAUUGACGCUGAGGAGCGAAAGCUAGGGGAGCAAACGGG